AGUCGAACGCGAAAGUCCCCUUCGGGGGGUGAGUAGAGUGGCGUCCGGGUGAAUAACACGUAGGUAAUCUACCUUUGGGUGGGGAAUAACAACCGGAAACGGUUGCUAAUACCGCAUAAUGCAGCGGCACCACAUGGUGACAGUUGUUAACGCGGGGGAUCGCAAGACCUCGCGCCUGAAGAGGAGCCUGCGGCGGAUUAGCUAGUUGGUAGGGUAACGGCCUACCAAGGCAACGAUCCGUAGCCGGCCUGAGAGGGCGGUCGGCCACACUGACACUGAAAUACGGGUCAGACUCCUACGGGAGGCAGCAGUCGGGAAUUUUGGGCAAUGGGCGCAAGCCUGACCCAGCAACGCCGCGUGAAGGAUGAAAUCCCUCGGGAUGUAAACUUCGCAAGAACGGGAAGAAUAAGUGGAAGUUAAUACCUUCCAUGAUGACGGUACCGUUUGUAAGCUCCGGCUAACUCCGUGCCAGCAGCCGCGGUAAUACGGGGGGAGCAAGCGUUGUUCGGAUUUACUGGGCGUAAAGGGCGCGUAGGCGGCCUGUGCAAGUCAGUUGUGAAAUCUCCGAGCUUAACUCGGAACGGUCAACUGAUACUGCUCGGCUAGAGUGCGGAAGGGGCAACUGGAAUUCUUGGUGUAGCGGUGAAAUGCGUAGAUAUCAAGAGGAACACCUGCGGCGAAGGCGGGUUGCUGGGCCGACACUGACGCUGAUGCGCGAAAGCUAGGGGAGCGAACGGGAUUAGAUACCCCGGUAGUCCUAGCCUUAAACGAUGAAUGCUUGGUGUCUGGGGUUAUAAAGUCCCCGGGUGCCGUCGCUAACGCUUUAAGCAUUCCGCCUGGGGAGUACGGUCGCAAGACUGAAACUCAAAGGAAUUGACGGGGACCCGCACAAGCGGUGG
rnacentral:rRNA from 1 species